rnacentral:rRNA from 1 species
AAUAAUUUAUUUGAUGGUACCUUACUACAUGGAUAACUGUGGUAAUUCUAGAGCUAAUACAUGCGUAAAGUCUCGACUCUUGCGGGGAGGGAUGUAUUUAUUAGAUAAAAAACCAAUGCGGGCUUUGCCCGGUUUCUUGGUGAAUCAUAGUAACUUUUCGGAUCGCAUGGCUUCACGCCGGCGACAGUUCAUUCAAAUUUCUGCCCUAUCAGCUUUCGACGGUAGUGUAGUGGACUACCGUGGCAUUAACGGGUGACGGAGAAUUAGGGUUCGAUUCCGGAGAGGGAGCCUGAGAAACGGCUACCACA